rnacentral:rRNA from 1 species
GAUGAACGCUGGCGGCGUGCUUAACACAUGCAAGUCGAACGAAGCACUUUAUUUGAUUUCUUCGGAAUGAAGAUUUUGUGACUGAGUGGCGGACGGGUGAGUAACGCGUGGGUAACCUGCCUCAUACAGGGGGAUAACAGUUGGAAACGACUGCUAAUACCGCAUAAGCGCACAGGGUCGCAUGACCUGGUGCGAAAAACUCCGGUGGUAUGAGAUGGACCCGCGUCUGAUUAGCCAGUUGGUGGGGUAACGGCCUACCAAAGCGACGAUCAGUAGCCGACCUGAGAGGGUGACCGGCCACAUUGGGACUGAGACACGGCCCAAACUCCUACGGGAGGCAGCAGUGGGGAAUAUUGCACAAUGGGGGAAACCCUGAUGCAGCGACGCCGCGUGAGCGAAGAAGUAUUUCGGUAUGUAAAGCUCUAUCAGCAGGGAAGAAGAAAUGACGGUACCUGA